rnacentral:misc_RNA from 1 species
CAGGAUAGUAUUACUAAUUUUAGAAAGUUAACAUCAAUUUUCCACGGUCUCCUUCACGUAACUCGUAUGACGAGAAGUAAUUUGCGUAUAAUCAUUAAAAUUGCUACUUCAGGUGCAACUAUUCUUUUUUACUAACUAACGCAAUCAUUUUUAUUUCAUUGAAGAGUCUUAUAAAAGCGGUAAACAGUUAACAUGUGUUUAGUAUAAAUCAGUGAACAGUUAAUAAAAAGUUUCUUCGUAUGUUUUUGAACGAUAGACGCAUAUCACACAAUAAUCUUCAAUUUUUGUUGAUUAAUCGAAAUUCAAGUGUUGCUGGUACAACAGGAGCUAUAGUGACCUGUCCCCUCGAAGUGGUUAAGACACGUUUACAAUCCUCUUCGUCUGGCUUCCACCCGCCACCAGUGAAUAAAGAGUUUACGUCCGGUCAUGUCACGUGUAAAAGUUUUCCAACACCGGAGCAAAGGAGGAGAUUGUGUACCGGAGGAUAUCCAAGGUGUUCCUUUCUGGCUCUUUCACAUUGUGGCGUGUCGACACCACCAGGUGGUAGUCCACACGCUUAUCCAACACCCGGUAUUAUCCAGUGUAUAAGAUACAUCAUUAAGAAUGAAGGUGUGCGUGCCCUUUUCCAAGGUCUCGGACCAAAUCUCGUUGGUGUUGCACCUUCUAGGGCAAUCUACUUCUGUGCAUAUUCAAAAAGCAAAAUUGCUUUUAACACGAUACUACCUCCGGAUACUCCGAUAGUCCACGUAUUUUCGGCAUUUUGCGCUGGUUUUGUGGCAUGCACAUUGACAAAUCCUAUUUGGUUUAUCAAAACUAGACUUCAGCUGGAUCAUCGAACGAACAAAAUCACUUCGAUAGAAUGUAUGCGGAGGAUAUAUCGACAGUCGGGUUUCCUAGGCUUUUAUAAGGGUAUUGUGGCGUCCUACGUAGGUAUAAGUGAGACUGUGAUACACUUUGUGAUUUACGAAGCUGUAAAGGCAUGGCUUGCGGCAAGGACGAGAGUUCCUUCUUCAAGAGGAGACGAUAGAAAAACCUUACGUGACUUUGUAGAAUUUAUGGUAGCUGGUUCGUUUUCCAAAACAAUCGCUUCAACGUUAGCUUAUCCUCAUGAAGUGGCAAGAACACGUUUACGCGAGGAAGGUACAAAGUAUCGAACCUUUGGUCAAACUUUAAACACCGUAUAUAAUGAAGAAGGAACCAGGGGUUUGUACCGUGGACUUGGAACUCAUUUGGUAAGACAGAUUCCAAAUACAGCUAUAAUAAUGGCCACUUACGAAGCUGUAGUCUACAUCCUGACGCGACAUUUCCAUUCAACCACUGUAAAUACAACGAACACAAGGACACAGUUUUAUGCUGAGACUAAAGCAAAGAGGGAAUUGGCCUAGGAUUUGCUAAAAGGUCCUGAAUAAAGGGCCUUCGUUCUAAAUGCUAAGAUUCGUGUUCUGAGGGCCACGUUUCAUCAGGUUUUCAUUGUCCUCCUCCUGCUCUUCAUCCUCAUUAUCAUCGAGGAAAUAUUUAGAGAUACCAUGGAAGAGAUGAUGAUGGUGAGAAGUCCUUUGGAGCACAAUUACGAUUGUUACAUUGAAAGUAGCAACAAAAGGUAGCGACUAAAACGCAUACGCAUGGAAUCCUGUUGUCUUGUGUACCUUGUAUACCAAACGGGUCAAUACCAAGUGAGGGCUGAUUUAAAGCUGGAACAAUGUGCUGACACACGUUGCUUUUUUUCCUUUUUUCUUCUAUCUCUAUCUUUAUCUUUAUCUUUUUCUCUUUCUCUUUCUCUCUCUCUCUC